GAUGAACGCUGGCGGCGUGCCUAACACAUGCAAGUCGAGCGAACGGACGAGAAGCUUGCUUUUCUGAUGUUAGCGGCGGACGGGUGAGUAACACGUGGAUAACCACCCUUUAGGACUGGGCCAUCUUCGGGAGAAUGGAGCCCAUAAACGAUCAUAUUUUGAACCGGAUGGUUCAAAAGUGCAAGACCUAUUUGCCGUCACUAUUAGAUGGAACCUAGCUGCAUGAGCUAGUUGGUAAGGUAACGGCUUACCAAGGCCACGAUGCAUAGCCGACCUGAGAGGGUGAUCGGCCACACGGGAACUGAGACACGGCCCAGACUCCGACGGGAGGCAGCAGUAGGGAAUCUUCCGCAAUGGGGGAAAGCCUGAUGGAGCAACGCCGCGUGAGUGAUGAAGGUCUUCGGGUCGUAAAACUCUGUUGUUAGGGAAGAAAAUAUGUGUAAGUAUCUGUGCAGAUCAUGACGGUACCUAAACAGAAAGCCACGGCUAACUACGUG
rnacentral:rRNA from 1 species